AGGACGAACGCUGGCGGCGUGCCUAAGCUUAUGCAAGUCGAACGCGAACGGCUCCUUCGGGAGCCUAGUAGAGUGGCAAACGGGUGAGUAACGCGUGGGUAACGUACCCUGAUCCUGGGAAUAACCCUCGGAAACGAGGGCUAAUACCGAAUGUGGCGAACGACCGGUUGGUCGCUCGCUAAAGGUGGCCUCUUCUAUGCUGCCGGGUUGGGAUCGGCCCGCGUCCCAUUAGCUAGUUGGUGAGGUAACGGCUCACCAAGGCCACGAUGGGUAGCCGGCCUGAGAGGGUGUACGGCCACACUGGCACUGAGACAAGGGCCAGUCCCCUAUGGGAGGCGCAGGCGGGAAUAGUUCACAAUGGGCGAAAGCCUGAUGACGCGACGCCGCGUGAGCGAAGAAGACCUUCGGGUUGUAAAGCUCUGUCAGGAGGGAAGAAGGCUCUACGGGUUAAUAGCCCGUGGAAUUGACGGUACCUCCAGAGGAAGCCCCGGCUAAAUACGUGCCAGCAGCCGCGGUAAUACGUAUGGGGCAAGCGUUGUCCGGAUUUACUGGGCGUAAAGGGCGCGUAGGCGGUUUGUUAAGUCGAAGGUGAAAUCCUCGGGCUCAACUCGAGAAUUGCCUUCGAUACUGGCAAACUAGAGUGGCGGAGAGGAAAGCGGAACUCUUGGUGUAACGGUGGAAUGUGUAGAUAUCAAGAGGAACACCGGUGGCGAAGGCGGCUUUCUGGACGCACACUGACGCUCAGGCGCGAAAGCGUGGGUAGCAAACAGGAUUAGAUACCCUGGUAGUCCACGCCAUAAACGAUGGGUACUAGGUGUCGGGGGUAUCGACCCCUCCGGUGCCGCAGUUAACGCACUAAGUACCCCGCCUGGGGAUUAUGGUCGCAAGGCUGAAACUCAAAGGAAUUGACGGGGCCCCGCACAAGCGGUGGAGCAUGUGGUUUAAUUCGACGCAACGCGAAGAACCUUACCUGGGCUUGACAUGCUUGGGACAGCGCUGGAAACAGCGUCUCUCCUUCGGGAGCCCUUGCACAGGUGCUGCAUGGCUGUCGUCAGCUCGUGUCGUGAGAUGUUGGGUUAAGUCCCGCAACGAGCGCAACCCUCGUUACUAGUUGCCAUCAGUUCGGCUGGGCACUCUAGUGAGACUGCCGGUGAUAAACCGGAGGAAGGUGAGGAUGAUGUCAAGUCAUCAUGGCCCUUACGCCCAGGGCUACACACGUGCUACAAU
rnacentral:rRNA from 1 species